ensembl:lncRNA
GGCAUCUGUAUCUUCUGUGAGAGGCCGUAAAGCCAAACUGCCCGCAAUGAUUCUUGACAGGCCUAAGAAGGCCAAAACUAAAGUAACGGUGUUUAGUGUUCUGAGUGAAGAGGAGGCUGGGGAGCUAGCCCUCGGGUUUGCCGGAAGAUUGGCCUGCGAUGUCACAAGAGACAUGGUCUGUAAAGGCAUCGACCAUUCAAGUGCUGAUAUGACAAAACACACUCUUCGCAAAAUCCAACACAACCUUAAACAGGAACUGACUGAUUCCUCAACUUUCAGUUUGCUGACACACACCUUUGGCCCUGCUGCACUGGAUUCUGUCAUUUCUUUCCUGUGUGAAAAACUGGAUCUUGUCUCUUAAAUAAUAAAACCUUUUGUGACUUUUGUUUGUUCUGUAAAUCAGAAUCUUGAAAAUUGUUCACUGUUGUUUUAAGUUUGUAUUAAGUUAACUACUUGGCAAAAAUGUUUGGUUCCUAAUCCAAACAGCAUAAUGACUGUUCUAACACAUAUCUUAAAAAUGCUACAAAGAAAGAAAAUUAUCACAUAUGUUUCAAUAUGAAUGUAAUUGUGUCACACUCGGUUUGUAGUAGCUUUCCUGUUUUAUUUUGUGAGUUUUGGUAUGUUUACACUGUUGUCAUUUUUAUUUCCAUUGUGUUCGUCUUCCCUUAUUAGUUUUACUUUAUUUAAUUAGUCUGAUUUAAUAACUUAUAAUUAUUUACUUUCCAGUGUGUAU